GACGAACGCUGGCGGCGUGCCUAAUACAUGCAAGUCGAGCGGACUUAAAAAGCUUGCUUUUUAAGUUAGCGGCGGACGGGUGAGUAGCGCGUGGGCAACCUGCCUGUAAGACUGGGAUAACUUCGGGAAACCGGAGCUAAUACCGGAUAAUCCUUUUCUACUCAUGUAGAAAAGCUGAAAGACGGUUUACGCUGUCACUUACAGAUGGGCCCGCGGCGCAUUAGCUAGUUGGUGAGGUAACGGCUCACCAAGGCGACGAUGCGUAGCCGACCUGAGAGGGUGAUCGGCCACACUGGGACUGAGACACGGCCCAGACUCCUACGGGAGGCAGCAGUAGGGAAUCUUCCGCAAUGGACGAAAGUCUGACGGAGCAACGCCGCGUGAGUGAUGAAGGUUUUCGGAUCGUAAAACUCUGUUGUUAGGGAAGAACAAGUACGAGAGUAACUGCUCGUACCUUGACGGUACCUAACCAGAAAGCCACGGCUAACUACGUG
rnacentral:rRNA from 1 species